rnacentral:tRNA from 1 species
GCAGCGAUGGCCAAGUGGUUAAGGCGUUGGACUUGAAAUACAGUAUGUCUUGCCACUUGUUGCU